ensembl:lncRNA
CGGGAGUUCACGGCCAUUGUUAUUGUCACAGCUUACAUUUCCCCAUGUGCUAACAUGAAGGACGCGCUUCGCGAGCUGACUAUAACCACGCAAACUUAAAGACAGUUUUGCCAAAGUUCCACCAACAUGUGAACUUUGCAACAAGGGGAAAAACACACUGGAUUUUGUUUACACAACAGAAAAUAACGCAUACUGUACCCCGCCCCCACCUAAGGUACUCUGAACACAUCUCUGUUAUGCUAAUUCCAGCAUACAGACCACUUCUGAAACUUGCCAAACGGGUUCAAAAACUCAUCCAGUUUGGCCAGAUGAUGCUACCUCAACACUACAGGACUGCUUUCAGUGCACAGACUGGAACAUGUUUAAAGAGGCAGCCACCUACAACAACCUCACAGACCUGCAGGAGUACAUUGAAACUGUGAGUGCUUAUAUCAAAAAGUGCAUUGAUGAUGUGACAGUCACCAAGACCAUCACCACACGUGCAAACUAAAAGCCAUGGAUGACAGCAGAGGUUCAUGGGCUGCUAAAGACCAGAGAUGAAGCAUUCAGAUCAGGAGAUAAAGCAGCCCUCAAAACAGCAAGAGUCAUUCUGUACUGUGGCAUCAAAAAUGCAAAACGGUCAUAUGCUCAAAAAAAUCAACAAUCACUUCACAGACAGCAGAGACGCAGAGCCUGUGGCAAGCCAUUCAGACCAUCACUAACUACAAGUCCCCACCACAGGCCUGUGAUAAUGGCACUCAACCACUUUUAUUCACUGUUUGAAAUUCAGAAUGACACACCUGCACAAAAACGUCCCAUACCUCCCAACGACCAGGUGCUCUGUCUGUCUCCAGCUGACGUAAGGAAGACCCUAUCUAGGAUUAACCCACGCAAGGCUGCGAGUCCUGAUGACAUACCUGGCCAUGUACUGAGAGACUGUGCUGCACAGCUAAAAGAUGUCCUUACAGAUAUCUUUAACACCUCACUAAGCCAGGCAGUCGUCCCCAAAUCCACAACAAUAAUACCGGUACCAAAGAAAUCCCCUGUGUCCUGUCUAAAUGACUACCGUCCCAUAGCGCUGACUCCAAUCAUGAUGAAGUGCUUUGAGAGGUUAGUCAUGCACAACAUCAAAACCAGCCUCCCUAACACACUCGAUCUGCUCCAGUUUGCAUACUGUCCAAACCGCUCUACAGACGAUGCAAUUUCCUCCACCCUCCACCUGGCUCUUACCCACCUAGAAAAUAAGGACUCCUAUGUUAGAAUGUUGUACAUCGACUUCAGCUCAGCAUUCAACAAAAUAAUACCACAACAGCUCAUUAAUAAACUAAACCUGCUGGGCCUUAACAAUUCCCUCUGUAAUUGGAUCCUGGACUUUCUAACUGGAAGACCUCAGUCAGUCCGUGUCAGCUACAACACCUCGAGCACUACCACACUGAGCACAGGUGCCCCACAAGGCUGUGUACUCAGCCCGCUGCUCUUCACGCUGCUGACCCAGGACUGCACUGCCAAGUUCAGCUCCAACCACAUCAUCAAGUUUGCGGAUGACACAAUGGCUCAAGUGGUAGGUCUCAUCAGCAACAGCGAUGAAACGCACUACAGAGAGGAAGUGGCACAACUGGCUGAAUGGUGUGGCAUUAACAACCUGUCCCUCAAUGUGGAGAAGACAAAGGAGGUUGUGAUGGACUUCAGGAGAAACUCCGUUGACCACCCCACACUGAUCAUCGACAGCUCAACUGUGGGGAUACUCAGCAGCACUAAAUUCUUGGGGGUGCACAUGACAGAGGAUCUCACCUGGACCACCAACACCAUGUCACUCUCUAAGAAGGCACAACAGCACCUACACUUUCUCCAUCUGCUGAAAAGAGCAAGUCUUCCCCCACCCAUCCUCACCACAUUCUACAGGGGAACCAUUGAGAGCGUGCUGACCAGCUGCAUUACUGUCUGGUAUGGGAACUGUCGUGCAGCAGACUGCCAGACCCUCCAGUGGACAGUGGACAGUGAACGCUACAAAGAUCAUCGGUACCCCUCUCCCCUCCAUCCUGGACAUUUUCCUCACACAAUGCUCCAGCAAAGGCAGCAGUAUCGUGAAGGACCCCACCAAUCCCUCCCACAGUCUCUUCCAGCUCCUACCAUCAGGAAUACAGUACUGGAGCAUCAGAGCCUGCUCCGCCAGACUGCUCAACAACUUUUUCCCCCAGGUUGUGGGAGCCCUGAACUCAAAUCACCCUUCCCUCCUCUGAAACCCCAUACAAACCCCCUACCUCCUGAAGCAUGGACAAUCUCACCUCCUCCACCCCCCAGACACCCCCCAAACUUACCACAUCACAGAUGUCUGAAACUUUCUCUUUUUGUGCUAUUCAAAGUGUGCUACACACAGGUGAGUGGGCCUGUACAAACCACCUGUAG